UGAACUAAAUGGGAUCCAACCACUCCUUGCUGUGGGCAGGGAUAUCUUUCACUAGAUUAGGUUGCUCAAAGCCCUGUCCAACCUGACCUUGAACACUUGCAAUGAUGGGGCAUCCACAGCU